CUGCUGCUUGUUUUUGUUGCUUGUGAGUAGCUGGAUGGGCAGGGUGGGAUUGAAAGGGUGCUUGAGGCAAGCUGAAGUGGCCAGUAAGCGAGGGGAUCAGGAGCUCUUAAAGGGGAAAUAUAGUACUUCACCACCCAGCCCUCCUGAUGCUGAUGUUUGGAAGGCCUCUGCUGGUGAUGAUUCUGGUUGCUCCUGAAGGACCUACUGCUGAUUGACAGGAAGCUGCCACAACGCAUUGUGCCACAUCAGGAGGAGCAGAGGACAGCCUGGGACUCUCAUUCCUUCUUGUCUCUGGGGAUGAAGAGGUGACGAAACUGAAGGGAUGCACCACAAGCACCAGAGUCUGGGGAGAUGGAGGAAGAUCAGUGUUUGAGAUGCUGCGGAAUAGGUCAUCAAGGAUGCACAUCUGGACAUAAAGGCAUAUAUGUAUAAGAGUGAUUGCUUUGCCAUGCUCUCCUUGAGGACCUGGCUGAGCACUCAAAGAGGAGGUACACGCUGUCACCUCUGGUGGAGGCAGGUUGGCUCAUACCCUGUCUGUUGUGGUGCUCUGAGUAUCUCCAUGUGGUGUGCCAUCACCAACACUUCUGCCUUGUGGGGCUGGUGCCCCUGGAUCUCGUGGCUUUCGUUGCCUUUUAUUCUCCUCCUCUCAUCUUGUACUCGGACACUGUUAGAGGAAAAUCUAAUGGGAGCAUCAGAUGCUGUUCAAUGAUAUACACUUUGCAUCCUCUUAAACAGUAAAGUGAAGGUGUUGGUACUGCAGCUUGGUGGCUCUGUCAAAAGGGAAAACAGUGAGUUGAAACCAUCUUCUAUGUGUCCCCUGCGGGCACAGGGAUGCUGAGAGUUUUGUGCUGCAGAUCUAUGCAUCUGCCACAGUCAAGCCAGGGGCUCCUCUAGAAGCAAGGUGGAAGAAAGAGCAAUAACUGCAGAGCUGGUUUGGGUGCAUGUGGAAACCCCAAGGAGAGGGGUUUAAUGUUAAUUUAUAUUCUCCGCAGCUCUCCCUGAGGCAAGAGCUGGGGCCCUGGGCCCCCUGGGGAGUUGGCUGGGUGCAGCCUGAUGCUGGCCCCAUCCCUGCGUGUGCAGCCACUUUGGGAAACGCGUCCUUUCCUGACUAUUCUCACCAGCUCUCAGCAGUUUCUGUGCGUGCCCACCAGAGAGCAACCCUGGCACAGGGUUGGUGUCUCCAGAGACAGAGAUGGGAACAGUAGGGCUGGGGACGAGGCCAAACCCGGCUUCCUUCUCCUUUUCCAGCCCUAUCACCUUGCCCAAACCUGAGCUGGAGAGAGGGUGUAAUCCUGCUGUGUGCCCAUGUCCUGUGUGAGAGGAGCGUCCUGCUGGGCACAAGGACAUGGCACCAUGUGAGAAGAGCCUGGCUGUCCUGAAGCUGUUGUGGGGAAGGACCGUGCUGGGACAGCAGGGAGAGUCUGUCCCAUGCAUAAAGUGCAAGUUCAGGCAGCCGAAACCUCCAAAAUUCAGAUGGGUAAUAGUCCAGUGCUUUAUGGCAGUCUCCUGAGUAAGUGCAGAGAUGAAUUUUGUUUUUUAUAUUUUUGUCAUUUUUUUGACAAUUGUCUCAAGGAAUGUCUCUGGUACUUGAAUGUGGAGUUUAGUGCUAUGGCGUAGUCUGGUAUAUGAGGUAGAAUCUAGUGCUUGCUGUUCGGAGAAGGAAGAAAUCUGUGCUUGUCAUGCACCUGCAGGCUUUACAAGCAUCUGUGCUCAAUGCUGGCCUGAGGUCUCGGGUAGGCAGGAAGGUUUAGGUUUAGAGGUGGGACUCAGCCAUGUGACAUGAACUAUCUCACCGCAGCUCUCCCUCUGUGGGGAGGAGAUGGGCAGGGCUUGUUCUCCCCAUGGAUGUGCAGAGCAGGUGGUAGUCACCUCUGUCUCUGCUCCGUGCUGAAUCUGUGUUCCCGUGGGCAGCAGCAGGUGGGAUGGCUGUGACCCCUCUGAACUGCAGCCCCAGGGCAUGCACAAAGGGCUUUGAGGGAAAGCUGAGGGAAGAAACAACUCUGCUAUUUUUAUCCUUGCACCAGCCCGGGGAUUUGGAUUGACAGGGUUAGUUAUGAAGCCAAUAUUAUGAGUUUAACUAUGAGUGAAAUAACACAACUUCUGUGGGAAGCAGAGUAAAAGAGGCAAUUAUGCAGUAGCUUAAUAACAGCACUCUGGCUGGGUAGCUGAAAAUUUACAGUUGACAGUAAUUAGAUUUUUUUUUUCAAUCUUCCUGUUAAAUAGCUACAAAAAUUACAAUAUAAAUGCAUCUGAUUCACUCUUACAUGCUGUUUUCAUCAUCGGGUCCGUGCCCAUUUGGCCUUCAGACUAUUUUUGUUUUGUAAUUUUCUACUGUCUGGUAUUUUAGAAGCGUGGAACUUAAUGUUCGUAAUGUUGAACACACAAAGCAAGAUGAAAAAGGCAGGUGGGGGAGCGGGCAGGAACCCCAUCAGAAAUGCAGGGGAUGUCUGGAUGGACAGCAAGGACUUUCCAGGUGGGCUCCCCCAGACUCACUGUCCUCUUUCCAAGCGCUCGCCUCUUCUUUUUCAUGUAUAGACAGCAUUAAGUUUUCUCUUAUGCCGCAAAACCUCGCAUUACCUUAGCAACUGUGUGCUUUCCAGCUUGCAGGGUAGAACUUGAUGAGCCAGCAAGUGCGUGGCACUUGGGCUGCUUCUGAUCAUAGCUUGAAAGCCCUGCGCAGCAUGAAGGAAAGAGCUCUCAGGUUUGCUCUUGUUGCUGAAGGCUCAGGAUGGGAUAUUUGCUUGAAGGCUGAGAGUAUUCUUCCUCUUGCUCUCCUGUUUUGUACUGUAAAAGAGCCAGGCAUAAUAAAUGAUACCAUGGUCCUGUUGUUGUGAUGUGA